rnacentral:miRNA from 15 species
CCUAUUCUCGGUUACUUGCAUG